UGAGGAAUAUUGGUCAAUGGGCGAGAGCCUGAACCAGCCAAGUCGCGUGAAGGAUGACUGUCUUAUGGAUUGUAAACUUCUUUUAUACGGGAAUAACAAGAGCCACGUGUGGCUCCCUGCAUGUACCGUAUGAAUAAGCAUCGGCUAACUCCGUGCCAGCAGCCGCGGUAAUACGGAGGAUGCGAGCGUUAUCCGGAUUUAUUGGGUUUAAAGGGUGCGUAGGCGGCCUGUUAAGUCAGCGGUGAAAUCUAGGAGCUUAACUCCUAAAUUGCCAUUGAUACUGGCGGGCUUGAGUGUAGAUGAGGUAGGCGGAAUGCGUGGUGUAGCGGUGGAAUGCAUAGAUAUCACGCAGAACUCCGAUUGCGAAGGCAGCUUACUAAGGUACAACUGACGCUGAAGCACGAAAGCGUGGGUAUCAAACAGGAUUAGAUACCCUGGUAGUCCACGCAGUAAACGAUGAUAACUGGGCGUAUGCGAUAUACAGUAUGCUCCUAANCGAAAGCGUUAAGUUAUCCACCUGGGGAGUACNCCGGCNACGGU
rnacentral:rRNA from 1 species